rfam:Lactobacillus silagei DNA, scaffold: sequence60, strain: IWT126.
ACAGCCCAAACCAGGAAGCUUGCUUCCUGGGGUUGUAGGACUGAACAUUUGAGUUACCAAAGCAAUGAAUAGUCGAACGGUUUGGGAAGACCGGCCAUAGCGGGUGAUAGCCCCGUAGACGAAAUUCGUUGCCCUCAGUUCAGGAUCCUGAGUACGGCCAGACACGUGAAACCUGGUCGGAAUCCGGGAGGACCAUCUCCCAAGGCUAAAUACUCCCUAGUGACCGAUAGUGAACCAGUACCGUGAGGGA